GCCGGGGUGGCCGAGAGGUCCAAGGCGGCGGGCUGCAGACCCGCUAUUAACCCGGGUUCGAAUCCCGGCCCCGGCUCCA
rnacentral:tRNA from 1 species